AACUAGUCACAGCCUUUGAUGUUUGCAAUUUUGCCGCAUUUAAUAUUCUUGUUGGAUAUACCUAACUAGUAGAAGUAUUUAUAAUAUUUUACUAUGUUGUUUUACGACAUUUCUAUUUGUAUAGUUCAUUAAAACUGCGACUACUUUUGAUGCCUGUUUUAAUAUUCUUGAUCAAUAACAUUGCUUGACAAAAUUCAAGUUUAUUUCGUGUAAGAACUUGUAUACAGUAUGCAGGCAUUUUUUAAUAGCAAAAAACACUAAAACAGGUGUUGGAAGUCAUCAAGAUAACCACCACAGAUUUUAUUUAAACAUUUUUCCUUUAAUAUAUUUUUCUUACCUAUGGCCGGUCGCAGAGAUAUUCUGUGAGACGUUGAUUUAAUCACAGUGGCCCAGAAACAUCUUUCAAAUGCUCCCAUUUAACCUCUGUCCUAUAUAUCAGGAUAUAGAAAACUUCAUUCAUGCAACGAGAAAAUAACAAGUCGGAUUUUUUUUUUGGAAAAAACAAAUCUUGGGCAGAUCAUGUUAGUUACAUUAAGCAUUGUCUGGACUUAAAUCUGGAAUGUAUAUUAAUCAUGGAACAUUUUGUUCUGAGUUUGUGAACAAACAAAUUUUGGCGGCAGUUCAUACUUUCGGAGCCAAAUAUUGAAAAAAGUACAUAUAAAAUGGUAGCCUCAAAAAUCUUGAUGUACAGAAAAACUGUUUUUAGCGAAGACGGCGUUCGAAAUACCCCUGAGAAUAUAAUCCUUGCUCAAUACAGAAAACUAUUUUUUGCUCCAAAAAUUUUGAGAUGCAGAACAUUUAUUUUAUUGUAUACAUUUUUCUCAUGUUUGUGUAAACUAGAUUUUUCCAAUAUCUGUUGGACAUAUUUAAAAUUGAAUUCAAUGACUUUAACGCUCCCUUAAAGCAUAAGAACAACUGUAUAGCGAUGAAAUUUUAAUUGUCUGAUGAUCGGAAAAUAAUUGACGAUAUCUUCCAUAUAAGUUCCCCUUUAGAAAAUUGUAUCUGUGCAUUGACUCAAAUAUUUUUUGUUUGUGAAUGGUUCCAAUGGCAUAGUAUUAUAAUUGAUUAAACUUAAUUAUCUCUUAAAUUUAAAAGGUAUUUGUCCAUAAUGGACUUAACACUCAUA